rnacentral:misc_RNA from 1 species
GUGAGUCAUCGAAUCUUUGAACGCACAUUGCGCCCCCUGGUAUUCCGGGGGGCAUGCCUGUUCGAGCGUCAUUUCACCACUCAAGCCUCGCUUGGUAUUGGGCAACGCGGUCCGCCGCGUGCCUCAAAUCGACCGGCUGGGUCUUCUGUCCCCUAAGCGUUGUGGAAACUAUUCGCUAAAGGGUGUUCGGGAGGCUACGCCGUAAAACAACCCCAUUUCUAAGGUUGACCUCGGAUCAGGUAGGGAUACCCGCUGAACUUAAGCAUAUCAAUAAGCGGAGGA